UCAAGCGUUUAAGGGCGAUUGGCGGAUGCCUUGGCACUGUAAGACGAUGAAGGACGUGGUAUACUGCGAUAAGUUUCGGGGAGCUGUAUGCAGGCUUUGAUCCGAAAAUUUCCGAAUGGGGAAACCCAACACUUCGUGUGUUACUUUAUACUGAAUUCAUAGGUAUAAAGAGUGAACCUGGAGAACUGAAACAUCUAAGUAACCAGAGGAAAAGAAAUCAAUUGAGACUCCGUGAGUAGUGGCGAGCGAAAGCGGACUAGGCCAGCAACUUAGUUUAGACAAUUUGAAUAGUUUGGAAAAACUAACCACAGAGGGUGAUAGUCCCGUAAAAGUAAUGCUAAUUUAAGUUCUUGAGUAGAGCGGGACACGUGAAAUCUUGCUUGAAUUUUGGGGGACCACCCUCUAAGCCUAAGUACUCUACAGUGACCGAUAGUGAACUAGUACCGUGAGGGAAAGGUGAAAAGAACCCCUAUUAGGGGAGUGAAAUAGAACCUGAAACCGAUUGCCUACAAACAGUCGAAGCUCUUUUUAGAGUGACGGCGUACCUUUUGUAUAAUGGGUCAGUGACUUAAUUUAUUAAGCAAGCUUAAGCCAUCUAGGUGUAGGCGCAGCGAAAGCAAGUCUUAAUAGGGCGAUUAGUUUAAUGAAUUAGACCCGAAAACGAAUGAGCUUACCAUGAGCAGGUUGAAAGCAAGGUAACACUUGCCGGAGGACCGAACCAGUUGACGUUGAAAAGUCUUUGGAUGACUUGUGGUAAGGGGUGAAAGGCCAACCAAAUUCGUAGAUAGCUGGUUUUCCGCGAAAACUAUUUAGGUAGUGCGUUGAAUAAACAGACUUUUGGAGGUAGAGCACUAAAUGGGCUAGGGGAGAGAAAUCUUUACCAAACCUAAUAAAACUCCGAAUGCCAAAAGUCAUUCCUCAACAGACAGACUGUGGGUGCUAAGGUCCAUGGUCGAGAGGGGAACAGCCCAGAUCACCAGAUAAGGUCCCUAAAUCAUGAUUAAGUGUGAAAGGAUGUGGAGAUUCCUUAACAGCCGGGAGGUUGGCUUAGAAGCAGCCAUCCUUUAAAGAUAGCGUAACAGCUCACCGGUCUAAUAGAGUUUCUGCGCCUAAGAUGUAACGGGGCUCAAAUCAUGUACCGAAUCUGUGGGUGUAUAAAGUUUUCGAAUUUUAUACGCGGUAGCGGAACGUUCUGUAAGCCUGUGAAGGGAUACCCGUGAGGGAUCCUGGAGGUAUCAGAAGUGCGAAUGCUGACAUAAGUAACGAUAAACGAAGUGAAAAACUUCGUCGCCGAAAAUCUAAGGGUUUCUGUGCAAGGUUAAUCCGCGCAGAGUUAGUCGGCUCCUAAGGCGAGGGCGAAAGCCGUAGUCGAUGGAAAUAAGGUUAAUAUUCCUUAACCAGAUGGUAGUGACGGAUUUUGUAAGUUGUGAGUUCUUAUUGGAUUGAACUUGCCGCGAAAAAGUCCCAGGAAAUAGCUCCAUCAUUAGACCGUACCCUAAACCGACACAGGUGGAUUAAUAGAGUAUAUUUAGGCGCUUGAGAGAAUGAUGUUGAAGGAACUCGGCAAAAUGCUUCUGUAACUUCGGAAUAAAGAAGACCUUUUUUUGGGCAACCAUUUAAAGGUGGCACAAGCCAGGGAGAAGCGACUGUUUAUCAAAAACACAGGGCUCUGCUAACACGUAAGUGGAUGUAUAGGGUCUGACGCCUGCCCGGUGCUGGAAGGUUAAUGCGAUGGGUGCAAGCUCAUUUCUGAAGCCCCAGUAAACGGCGGCCGUAACUAUAACGGUCCUAAGGUAGCGAAAUUCCUUGUCGGG
rnacentral:rRNA from 1 species